CGGCGAGUGAAGCGGCAACAGCUCAAAUUUGAAAUCUGGCCCUCGGGUCCGAGUUGUAAUUUGUAGAGGAUGCUUUUGGCGCGGUGCCUUCCGAGUUCCCUGGAACGGGACGCCUUAGAGGGUGAGAGCCCCGUACGGUUGGACACCAAGCCUCUGUAAAGCUCCUUCGACGAGUCGAGUAGUUUGGGAAUGCUGCUCUAAAUGGGAGGUAAAUUUCUUCUAAAGCUAAAUAUUGGCCAGAGACCGAUAGCGCACAAGUAGAGUGAUCGAAAGAUGAAAAGCACUUUGAAAAGAGGGUUAAAUAGCACGUGAAAUUGUUGAAAGGGAAGCGUUUGCGACCAGACCUUUUCCUGGCGGAUCAUCCGGUGUUCUCACCGGUGCACUUCGCCAGGUCGAGGCCAGCAUCGGUUUCCGCGGGGGGAUAAAAGCUCUGGGAACGUAGCUCCUCCGGGAGUGUUAUAGCCCUCUGCACAAUACCCCCGCGGGGACCGAGGACCGCGCUCUAAGCAAGGAUGCUGGCGUAAUGGUUGUCAACGACCCGUCUUGAAACACGGACCAAGGAGUCGAACAUUUGUGCGAGUGUUUGGGUGUCAAACCCUCACGCGUAAUGAAGGUGAACGUAGGUGAGAGCCCUUACGGGUGCAUCAUCGACCGAUCCUGAUGUCUUCGGAUGGAUUUGAGUAAGAGCAUAACUGUUCGGACCCGAAAGAUGGUGAACUAUGCGUGGAUAGGGUGAAGCCAGAGGAAACUCUGGUGGAGGCUCGCAGCGGUUCUGACGUGCAAAUCGAUCGUCAAAUCUGCGCAUGGGGGCGAAAG
rnacentral:rRNA from 1 species